AGCUAAUAGAUACCCGGGUAGUCCACGCCCUAAACGAUGUCUACUAGUUGUUGGUGGAGUAAAAUCCAUGAGUAAACGCAGCUAAACGCGUGAAGUAGACCGCCUGGGGAGUACGGUCGCAAGAUUAAAAACUCAAAGGAAUUGACGGGGGCCCGCACAAGCGGUGGAUUAUGUGGAUUAAAUUCGAUGCAACGCGAAAAACCUUACCUGGCCUUGACAUGCCACUAACGAAGCAGAGAUGCAUUAGGUGCCCGUAAGGGAAAGUGGACACAGGUGCUGCAUGGCUGUCGUCAGCUCGUGUCGUGAGAUGUUGGGUUAAGUCCCGCAACGAGCGCAACCCUUGCCAUUAAUUGCCAUCA
rnacentral:rRNA from 1 species